UGGGGAAUAUUGCACAAUGGGCGCAAGCCUGAUGCAGCGACGCCGCGUGGGGGAUGACGGCCUUCGGGUUGUAAACUCCUUUCGCAACUGACGAAGCUUUUGUGUGACGGUAGGUUGAGAAGAAGCACCGGCUAACUACGUGCCAGCAGCCGCGGUAAUACGUAGGGUGCGAGCGUUGUCCGGAAUUACUGGGCGCAAAGAGCUCGUAGGUGGUUUGUCGCGUCGUGUGUGAAAUUCCGGGGCUUAACUUCGGGGUUGCAUACGAUACGGGCAUAACUUGAGUGCUGUAGGGGAGACUGGAAUUCCUGGUGUAGCGGUGAAAUGCGCAGAUAUCAGGAGGAACACCGAUGGCGAAGGCAGGUCUCUGGGCAGUAACUGACGCUGAGGAGCGAAAGCAUGGGGAGCGAACAG
rnacentral:rRNA from 1 species